UACGUAGGGUGCGAGCGUUGUCCGGAAUUACUGGGCGUAAAGAGCUCGUAGGUGGUUUGUCGCGUUGUUCGUGAAAACUCACAGCUUAACUGUGGGCGUGCGGGCGAUACGGGCAGACUUGAGUACUGCAGGGGAGACUGGAAUUCCUGGUGUAGCGGUGAAAUGCGCAGAUAUCAGGAGGAACACCGGUGGCGAAGGCGGUUCUCUGGGCAUUACCUGACGCUGAGGAGCGAAAGUGUGGGGAGCGAACAGG
rnacentral:rRNA from 1 species